GGAAUACUCUGAUCAUCAUAACAACUUCUUUAAAGACUUUUGCUAUGAAUGAGGAGCUACUGAUAGGGUUAGAGCGUCAGCUGACUUCCCCAGAUGCCACUUGGGGGAUCUGGAGAUAACCUUUGGGGUUAAAGGAUCAGGAAAACAAAGCGAUGGUUAAAACCCCUUCAGCAGCUUCCCUUAUUCCAGCGCCGGUGACCUCUCCUCCCCCGCCGACGUCAG